rnacentral:tRNA from 1 species
GGAGCUCUGACUCAGUGAUAGAGUGCUCAUCUAGCACAUGAGAGGCCCUGGGUUCGAUCCUCAGCACCA